GGGCCCUUCCCGGGAGGAGCGUGGAGCGGCAGCGGCGGCGGCAGUAGAAAUAAUGGAAGAAUUGCAUAGCCUGGACCCACGACGGCAGGAAUUAUUAGAGGCCAGGUUUAGUGGAGUUGAUGUUAGUAAGGGACCACUCAAUAGUGAGUCUUCCAAUCAGAGCUUGUGCAGUGUGGGGUCCUUGAGUGAUAAAGAAGUAGAAACUCCUGAAAAAAAGCAGAAUGACCAGCGAAAUCGGAAAAGAAAAGCUUAACCAUAUGAAACUAGCCAAGGGAAAGGUACUCCUAGGGGACAUAAAAUUAGUGAUUACUUUGCGUUUGCUAGGGGAAGCGGGCCAGGAACCAGCCCUGGCAGAAGUGUUCCACCAGUUGCACGAUCCUCACUGCAACAUUCCUUAUCCAAUCCCUUACCGCAGCGAGUAGAGCAGCCCCUUUAUGGCUUAGAUGGCAGUGCUGCAAAGGAGGCAUCAGAGGGGCAGUCUGCUCUGCCAACCCUCGUCGGUGAUGCUAGCAAAGCCUCGGCUUGACAGGGAGCAGUUGGCACAAAGAGGAGCUGGGCUCUGCUUCACUUUUGUUUCAGCUCAACAAAACAGUCCUUCUUCAACGGGAUCUGGCAACACAGAGCAUUCCUGCAGCUCCCCAAAACAGAUCUCCAUCCAGCACAGACAGACCCAUUCUGACCUCACAACAGAAAAAAUAUCUGCACUAGAAAACAGUAAGAAUUCUGACUUAGAGGAGAAGGAGGGAAGAAUAGAUGAUUUAUUAAGAGCCAACUGUGAUUUGAAAGGGCAGAUUGAUGAACAGCAAAAGAUGCUAGAGAUGGGCGGCGCCUAGAAAUACAAGGAACGAUUAAAUAGAUGUGUGACAGUGAGCAAGAAACUCCUUAUAGAAAAGUCAAAACAAGAGAAGAUGGAAUGUAGAGAUAAGAGCAUGCAAGACCGUUUGAGAUUGGGCCCCUUUACUACUGUCCGACACGGAGCCUCUUUUACCGAACAAUGGACAGAUGGUUAUGCUUUCCAGAACCUUAUCAAGCAACAGGAAAGGAUCAAUUCGCAGAGGGAGGAGAUAGAAAGACAACGGAAAAUGUUAGCAAAGUGGAAACCUCCUGCCAUGGGCCAGGCCCCUCCAGCAACCAAUGGGCAGAAACAGCGGAAAAGCAAGACCAAUGGAGCCGAAAACGAAACAUUAACAUUAGCGGAAUACCGUGAACAAGAAGAAAUUUUCAAACUUAGAUUAGGUCAUCUUAAAAAGGAGGAAGCAGAGAUCCAGGCAGAGCUGGAAAGACUAGAAAGGGUUAGAAAUCUACAUAUCAGGGAAUUAAAAAGGAUACAUAAUGAAGAUAAUUCACAAUUUAAAGAUCAUCCAACGCUAAAUGACAGAUAUUUGUUGUUACAUCUUUUGGGUAGAGGAGGUUUCAGUGAAGUUUAUAAGGCCUUUGAUCUAACAGAGCAAAGAUAUGUAGCUGUGAAAAUUCACCAGUUAAAUAAAAACUGGAGAGAUGAGAAAAUGAAGAAUUACCACAAGCAUGCGUGUCGGGAAUACCGGAUUCACAAAGAACUGGAUCAUCCCAGAAUAAUAAAGCUGUAUGAUUACUUUUCACUGGACACUGACUCAUUUUGAACAGUAUUAGAAUACUGUGAGGGAAAUGAUCUGGACUUCUACCUGAAACAGCACAAAUUAAUGUCGGAGAAAGAGGCCCAAUCCAUUAUCAUGCAGAUUGUGAAUACUUUAAAGUACUUAAAUGAAAUAAAACCUCCCAUCAUACACUAUGACCUCCAACCAGGUAAUAUUCUUUUAGUAAAUGGUACAGCGUGUGGAGAGAUAAAAAUUACAGAUUUUGGUCUUUCCAAGAUCAUGGAUGAUGAUGGCUACAAUUCAGUGGAUGGCAUGGAGCUAACAUCACAAGGUACUUUCUGGUAUUUACCACCAGAGUGUUUCGUGGUUGGGAAAGAACCACCAAAGAUCUCAAAUAAAGUUGACGUCCGGUCAGUGGGUGUGAUCUUAUACCAGUGUCUUUAUGGAAGGAAGCCUUUUGGCCAUAACCAGUCCCAGCAAGACAUUCUCCAAGAGAAUACUAUUCUUAAAGCUACUGAAGUGCCGUUCCCGCCAAAGCCAGUAGUAACACCUGAAGCAAAGGCAUUUAUUUGACGAUAUUUGGCAGACCGAAAGGAGGACCACAUUGAUGUCCAGCAAUUGGCCUGUGACCCCUACUUGCUGCCUCACAUCCAAAAGUCGGUCUCCACAAGUAGCCCUGCUGGAGCUGCUAUUGCAUCGACCUCUGGGGCAGCCAAUAACAGAUUUUCGAAUUGA